GCGGCAGUAGCUCAGUGGUAGAGCCUCCGACUCGCAUUCGUGGAGACCUGGGUUCGAUUCCCGGCUGCUUCU
rnacentral:tRNA from 1 species